rnacentral:rRNA from 1 species
AGUGAACGCUGGCGGUAGGCCUAACACAUGCAAGUCGAACGGCAGCACAGUAAGAGCUUGCUCUUACGGGUGGCGAGUGGCGGACGGGUGAGGAAUACAUCGGAAUCUACUUUUUCGUGGGGGAUAACGUAGGGGAACUUACGCUAAUACCGCAUACGACCUACGGGUGAAAGCAUGGGAUCUUCGGACCUUGCGCGAUUGAAUGAGCCGAUGUCGGAUUAGCUAGUUGGCGGGGUAAAGGCCCACCAAGGCGACGAUCCGUAGCUGGUCUGAGAGGAGGAUCAGCCACACUGGAACUGAGACACGGUCCAGACUACUACGGGAGGCAGCAGUGGGGAAUAUUGGACAAUGGGCGCAAGCCUGAUCCAGCCAUACCGCGUGGGUGAAGAAGGCCUUCGGGUUGUAAAGCCCUUUUGUUGGGAAAGAAAAGCAGCAGGUUAAUACCCCGCUGUUCUGACGGUACCCAAAGAAGAAGCACCGGCUAACUUCGUG